CAGUCGCCACGGUAAAACGAAGGGGGCUAGCGUUGUUCGGAUUUACUGGGCGUAAAGCGCACGUAGGCGGAUCGAUCAGUCAGGGGUGAAAUCCCAGAGCUCAACUCUGGAACUGCCUUUGAUACUGUCGAUCUAGAGUAUGGAAGAGGUGAGUGGAAUUCCGAGUGUAGAGGUGAAAUUCGUAGAUAUUCGGAGGAACACCAGUGGCGAAGGCGGCUCACUGGUCCAUUACUGACGCUGAGGUGCGAAAGCGUGGGGAGCAAACAGGAUUAGAUACCCGUGUAGUCCCUGUCUCUUAUAC
rnacentral:rRNA from 1 species